rnacentral:rRNA from 1 species
AGAGUUUGAUCCUAGCUCAGGACUAACGCUGGCGGCGUGCCUAGCACAUGCAAGUCGAGCGGAGACAGUGAGUAGCUUGCUAUGAGCUGUUUUAGCGGCGGACGGGUGAGUAACGCGUGAGCAACCUUUCCCAGACAGGGGAAUAACACACCGAAAGGUGUACUAAUACCGCAUAAGACCACGGGAUCACAUGGUUCUGGGGUAAAAGAUUUAUCGGUUUGGGGUGGGCUCGCGUCCGAUUAGGUAGUUGGUGAACGGG